AUAGAGUCAAGUGAAUAAGUGCAUCAGGCGGAUGCCUUGGCGAUGAUAGGCGACGAAGGACGUGUAAGCCUGCGAAAAGCGCGGGGGAGCUGGCAAUAAAGCUAUGAUUCCGCGAUGUCCGAAUGGGGAAACCCACUGCAUUCUGUGCAGUAUCCUAAGUUGAAUACAUAGGCUUAGAGAAGCGAACCCGGAGAACUGAACCAUCUAAGUACCCGGAGGAAAAGAAAUCAACCGAGAUUCCGCAAGUAGUGGCGAGCGAACGCGGAGGAAGCCUGUACGUAAUAACUGUCGAGAUAGAAGAACAAGCUGGGAAGCUUGACCAUAGCGGGCGACAGUCCCGUAUUCGAAAUCUCAACAGCGGUACUAAGCGUACGAAAAGUAGGGCGGGACACGUGAAAUCCUGUCUGAAUAUGGGGACCAUCCUCCAAGGCUAAAUACUCAUCAUCGACCGAUAGUGAACCAGUACCGUGAGGGAAAGGCGAAAAGAACCCCGGGAGGGGAGUGAAACAGAACCUGAAACCUGAUGCAUACAAACAGUGGGAGCGCCCUAGUGGUGUGACUGCGUACCUUUUGUAUAAUGGGUCAACGACUUACAUUCAGUAGCGAGCUUAACCGGAUAGGGGAGGCGUAGGGAAACCGAGUCUUAAUAGGGCGAUGAGUUGCUGGGUGUAGACCCGAAACCGAGUGAUCUAUCCAUGGUCAGGUUGAAGGUCUUAGUAAACAGGUACUGGAGGACCGAACCCACGCAUGUUGCAAAAUGCGGGGAUGAGCUGUGGGUAGGGGUGAAAGGCUAAACAAACUCGGAGAUAGCUGGUUCUCCCCGAAAACUAUUUAGGUAGUGCCUCGAGCAAGACACUGAUGGGGGUAAAGCACUGUUAUGGCUAGGGGGUUAUUGCAACUUACCAACCCAUGGCAAACUCAGAAUACCAUCAAGUGGUUCCUCGGGAGACAGACAGCGGGUGCUAACGUCCGUUGUCAAGAGGGAAACAACCCAGACCGCUUACUAAAAGGUCCCAAAUGAUAGAUUAAGUGGUAAACGAAGUGGGAAGGCACAGACAGCCAGGAUGUUGGCUUAGAAGCAGCCAUCAUUUAAAGAAAGCGUAAUAGCUCACUGGUCGAGUCGUCCUGCGCGGAAGAUGUAACGGGGCUCAAAUCUAUAACCGAAGCUGCGGAUGCCGGUUUACCGGCAUGGUAGGGGAGCGUUCUGUAGGCUGAUGAAGGUGCAUUGUAAAGUGUGCUGGAGGUAUCAGAAGUGCGAAUGUUGACAUGAGUAGCGAUAAAGCGGGUGAAAAGCCCGCUCGCCGAAAGCCCAAGGUUUCCUACGCAACGUUCAUCGGCGUAGGGUAAGUCGGCCCCUAAGGCGAGGCAGAAAUGCGUAGUCGAUGGGAAACAGGUUAAUAUUCCUGUACUUGAUUCAAAUGCGAUGUGGGGACGGAGAAGGUUAGGUUGGCAAGCUGUUGGAAUAGCUUGUUUAAGCCGGUAGGUGGAAGACUUAGGCAAAUCCGGGUUUUCUUAACACCGAGAAGUGAUGACGAGUGUCUACGGACACGAAGCAACCGAUACCACGCUUCCAGGAAAAGCCACUAAGCUUCAGUUUGAAUCGAACCGUACCGCAAACCGACACAGGUGGGCAGGAUGAGAAUUCUAAGGCGCUUGAGAGAACUCGGGAGAAGGAACUCGGCAAAUUGAUACCGUAACUUCGGGAGAAGGUAUGCCCUCUAAGGUUAAGGACUUGCUCCGUAAGCCCCGGAGGGUCGCAGAGAAUAGGUGGCUGCGACUGUUUAUUAAAAACACAGCACUCUGCCAACACGAAAGUGGACGUAUAGGGUGUGACGCCUGCCCGGUCUUAGGAAGGUUAAUUGAAGAUGUGCAAGCAUCGGAUCGAAGCCCCGGUAAACGGCGGCCGUAACUAUAACGGUCCUAAGGUAGCGAAAUUCCUUGUCGGGUAAGUUCCGACCCGCACGAAUGGCGUAACGAUGGCCACACUGUCUCCUCCCGAGACUCAGCGAAGUUGAAGUGGUUGUGAAGAUGCAAUCUACCCGCUGCUAGACGGAAAGACCCCGUGAACCUUUACUGUAGCUUUGCAUUGGACUUUGAAGUCACUUGUGUAGGAUAGGUGGGAGGCUUGGAAGCAGAGACGCCAGUCUCUGUGGAGUCGUCCUUGAAAUACCACCCUGGUGUCUUUGAGGUUCUAACCCAGACCCGUCAUCCGGGUCGGGGACCGUGCAUGGUAGGCAGUUUGACUGGGGCGGUCUCCUCCCAAAGCGUAACGGAGGAGUUCGAAGGUUACCUAGGUCCGGUCGGAAAUCGGACUGAUAGUGCAAUGGCAAAAGGUAGCUUAACUGCGAGACCGACAAGUCGGGCAGGUGCGAAAGCAGGACAUAGUGAUCCGGUGGUUCUGUAUGGAAGGGCCAUCGCUCAACGGAUAAAAGGUACUCCGGGGAUAACAGGCUGAUUCCGCCCAAGAGUUCAUAUCGACGGCGGAGUUUUAAGACCUCGAUGUCGGCUCAUCACAUCCUGGGGCUGUAGUCGGUCCAAGGGUAUGGCUGUUCGCCAUUUAAAGUGGUACGUGAGCUGGGUUUAAAACGUCGUGAGACAGUUUGGUCCCUAUCUGCAGUGGGCGUUGGAAGUUUGACGGGGGCUGCUCCUAGUACGAGAGGACCGGAGUGGACGAACCUCUGGUGUACCGGUUGUAACGCCAGUUGCAUAGCCGGGUAGCUAAGUUCGGAAGAGAUAAGCGCUGAAAGCAUCUAAGCGCGAAACUCGCCUGAAGAUGAGACUUCCCUUGCGGUUUAACCGCACUAAAGGGUCGUUCGAGACCAGGACGUUGAUAGGUGGGGUGUGGAAGCGCGGUAACGCGUGAAGCUAACCCAUACUAAUUGCCCGUGAGGCUUGACUCUAU
rnacentral:rRNA from 1 species